rfam:Nipponia nippon contig17884, whole genome shotgun sequence.
GGCGCCAUGGCUCAGUUGGUUAAAGCACCUGUCUAGUAAACAGGAGAUCCUGGGUUCGAGUCCCAGUGGUGCCU